CAUUAGGGUUUUUUCCAUCUUCUUCUUACGGCUCACCGUGGACGAAGAAAACACAGAGAAACUUGAAUCACCGUCUUGAUAUACAUAACGUUUUCAUCAUCCAUAACUCUGUUCUUAACUCCACCUCCCCCCUUUUAAUCCACUUGAAGCAAUCAAUAUAACUCUUCGUAUUCCACCUUAACCGGCUUCAGAUUCAGAUAUAAAUACGGCAUCUCACCUUCCUGCGAUGCGCACCUCAUCUCAGACGAAAUUUAGAAGCAAACUCUUUCCUAGCAAAUUCGAUCUGAGAGCUGGCCGAUGCUCCAAUACUGCAAAGGUCCGUCUGCUUUGGUUUUGGGAGGCUAGGAAUAUCAACAAGGGAGGGGAACUUAUUAGUGUUGACAUGUUUCUCAUCCAUGAGAAUUUACAAAAAACAUGUAUUUGGUUAUCAUGCAAGAAGAAAAAACAUCAGCAAUAGAAUGAAUUUACUUCAGGAUAUAGUUACUGGUUGCAACCGGAUAACAGGGAAAGCAGCACUGCUUGAUGAAAUUAUAGAAUAUGUGCAUACAAGUUGAGUUCUUUUCCAUUAAGCUGGCUACUAUAAAUUCAAGUUUGGAGUCAAACCCUGAUGCUGCUUUAUCUAUAGAGCCGGGAGAGUCGUUAACGCAGUCUCUUACGCAAUAGCUUGCUUAUGGUAAAGACUUCCGUCAUGAAUAUAUUAUCAUGCCAAGAACAUGCCUAGAUUCUCAGACACGCAAUUCCCCUCAAGUGAUGGAUUUGUUCAAGCCAAGACACACGGAUCCUGAAAAAUUGAUCUACAAAGCAAUGUUCAAAUGGGUUUUGGAGAUGUCCAGCAACAGAGCAGCAACAACAGUUGUUCUGAGGCAACAUUACAGAUGAAGCCUCAGCCAUGUGAAGAAGGUGAUCCAGUGGGCAACAUAGGGAGAAUAACCACACGCUCUUUGUUUAAAAGUUGUGUUGAUCACAUGGUGAUAUGUCUCCACUUUUUUUUUAAACCCACGUUGAUUUAUA